AGCGAACGCUGGCGGCAGGCUUAGCACAUGCAAGUCGAACGGGCACUUCGGUGCUAGUGGCAGACGGGUGAGUAACACGUGGGAACGUACCUUUCGGUUCGGAAUAAUACAGGGAAACUUGUACUAAUACCGGAUACGACCUUCGGGGGAAAGGUUUAUCGCCGAUAGAUCGGCCCGCGUCUGAUUAGCUAGUUGGUGAGGUAAUGGCUCACCAAGGCGACGAUCAGUAGCUGGUCUGAGAGGAUGAUCAGCCACACUGGGACUGAGACACGGCCCAGACUCCUACGGGAGGCAGCAGUGGGGAAUAUUGGACAAUGGGCGAAAGCCUGAUCCAGCCAUGCCGCGUGAGUGAUGAAGGCCUUAGGGUUGUAAAGCUCUUUUGUCCGGGAAGAUAAUGACUGUACCGGAAGAAUAAGCCCCGGCUAACUUCGUGCCAGCAGCAGCCGCAGUAA
rnacentral:rRNA from 1 species